rnacentral:rRNA from 1 species
CUAUUAUUCUUUAUUUUAAAAAUUUUUAUAUAUUUAAGUAGUGUGGAUGAAUAUUUAGUAUUUAAAAUUAUAUUUGAAACUUAAAAAGCUUGGCGGUGUUAUAUAUCCAUUUAGGGGAGCUUGUUUAUUAAUUUGAUAAUCCUCAAUAAACUCUUACUUUUUCUUGAAUGUUAACAGUUUGUAUAUUGCUGUCAUCAGUUUAUUUCGUAAGAAUUAGGAUUAAAAAACUUAAAAGCUUAUAUGCUUGAAUGUCAAGUCAAAAUGCAGCUUAUGGAAAAGGUUUAAAAUUAUACAAAUGAGCUACAAUUUAUUAAUUUAAUUGGAUUAGAUUUUGUAAAAAAUUUAUAAAUUUGGACUUAAUAGUAAUAUAAAAUAAUUAGUAUGUUUAUAUGAAUAAGGUUUUAUAACGCGU